CUCUAAGUUUCCCAAAAAUGCACAACUUUUCUAGAGAGUCUAAUGACUUCUACCGAGGUGUUGAAAUAAAUAAAUCAAUAAAAUUGAAAUAAAGCUUUUUAUUUGAUGAAAAAAAAUUCAUUUGCAUGGUCAAAAGAGAAAGAAGGAGGGGGACAAAGGGAGGAAGGGACCACAUGGGCUGGUGAAGAGAAUCGGGGUUUGCAUGAAGAUCCGCGUGUGCUUCCUCUUUAAGAUGUUCUCCCACGUGUUUCUGCUUCCCUUAUUAUAAAACCAAAAUAUAUUCGUAACACACUAUAUACAUAAUCCAUUACUCAUUAAAUCUAACAAAAGAUUGAGAUAAAAAAGAGACUCGUAACGACUCAAAUCUCGGCCCAUAAAAAUUUAGCCCAGUAAAAUCCAAUUACAUCGUAAAAAACCCUAAAAUUUUUUUAUUUAAGAUGGGAUUUCGUGGUGGUCUCUGACAGAGACUUUUGGGGAUGGCAAAACCCUGCCAGAACGUCACCGGAACAGCCACAAAUAGCCACCAUGAAAGAGAAGUCAUCCUACCAUCCGAAAAGAGAGAGUAUAGCUCUGCAGAUACGUUUUGGGGGAAUAGAAGAACGAUCAAUCAAAUAUGAGUAUUUCGAAGCUAAAUUUUAAGAUCGGAUCCGCGAACAGUCAACUUCAUCAGCGUUUUACCGUUGAUACAGAAGGAACCAGGGAACGGGCGAGAUAUCAUUGGAAAGAUCUAGAUGCCAGCUUUUCAGAUCAUCUAUCCGAUUGUCAAAUCGACGUACGGUUAGAAAGUUAUUGACGUUUCUUCUUGGCAAAGAAUAAAGCUGUUGAGUUGCAGAGAUAGUUCCGACCAGUCUCGGUGUAAGUGAGAAACGGUCGAGAGAAACAAAAUAUUUCAGUCUGGAAAUUUGUCAGUAAGUAGUUAAUUCUCUUAUCUAUCAUCUCCUGCAAGCGGAUCGUUAUUCCGAGUUAUUUUCUGAGAGUUAUGCUUGUUUUCGUGAGAGGUGUUGGUGCAGUUUGCGUUUACGACCAGCCUGGAGAUGAAGCUACUUUGGUUAAGAAAAUGGUGUCCGAUCAGAGUAAACUUGGUGUCUAUGGAUAGAGGACAUAUAGGAAUACAUUAUGACCGGAGGGAUCUAAACGUUAACGGUCCGUUAUUGAGUUAUUCAUCUUUUUGCUCUAUGGUUCAGCUCUGCCAGAAUAUCAUAUUGAUCUAAUUUCAGAGAGCUCCAGAGUUGCUUUGUUAGAGCCGUCAAGGUCCAUUCGGCGUUUCCUCAGGUUUCUUUAGAACCCGUGGCAAAGCUAUGAGUAGGGACUAUGUGCGCGGGCGGGGGCUCAGAGAUGUCUGGGCUAGCGACGCUACUUUGAUUGUGCGGGCAGGGGUUCAGAGGCGUCUGGACUUGCGAUGCUACUUGUGCGGGCGUGUGGUGCAGAGACGUUUGUACCAUGGACGCUACUUGAGAGGGCGGGGGUACAGAGACAGACUGUACUAGCGACGCUAUGUAUUAUAUAUCCAUAUGAGGAGAUGCGGGGUGUAUGGACUAGCUAUAUGCUAUCAUCGCAGUGUUUGUGUUGUGUUUAUGUGAUGCUUUAGGUGUCUUGUUUGUUCAUGUUAGAGCUAAACUUCCAUAGUGGAAGUUCUAUUACUCAAGUCAGUGGUUUGCGUGUUUGGCAUCUCAUACCUCACGGAGUAACUCCCCUGUUACUCACCCCUCCUAUUCCUUCCCCGUUCAGGUGAGACUGACGAGCAUGAGUGAUUGCUAUCGCACUGGUGUUUUGGGAGUUUUAUUUCUGUCUUUUUCAGAUUUGCGGAUUUUAAUCUUUUAUCGAUAUUUUCGGGAUUUAUUAUGUUAUUUAGAUUUAUGGCUAUUUAUUGAAUUUACGAUUUUGGAGUUGACUU